rnacentral:rRNA from 1 species
AACGAACGCUGGCGGCAGGCCUAACACAUGCAAGUCGAGCGAGGACUUCGGUCCUAGCGGCGGACGGGUGAGUAACGCGUGGGAACGUGCCCUUUGCUACGGAAUAGCCCCGGGAAACUGGGAGUAAUACCGUAUGUGCCCGAGAGGGGAAAGAUUUAUCGGCAAAGGAUCGGCCCGCGUCGGAUUAGGUAGUUGGUGGGGUAAUGGCCUACCAAGCCGACGAUCCAUAGCUGGUUUGAGAGGAUGAUCAGCCACACUGGGACUGAGACACGGCCCAGACUCCUACGGGAGGCAGCAGUGGGGAAUCUUAGACAAUGGGGGAAACCCUGAUCUAGCCAUGCCGCGUGAGCGAUGAAGGCCUUAGGGUUGUAAAGCUCUUUCAGUGGGGAAGAUAAUGACGGUACCCACAGAAGAAGCCCCGGCUAACUCCGUGCCAGCCGCCGCAGUAAUAC